UGAGAAUGAUUGAAAAAUCAGUAUUUUUUCACCCAAAGGCAUGAGUGAACAUUUGAUAAGUUUAUUGUGAUUUAAUUGGUAAUUUGGUCGACAUUUUGACAAUUAUAUUUAGCAAUAUUUCGAUAAAUGCGGACCUGCUUCUUCCUCUUUUCGCAGUGACGGUGUUUCGAUAACUCAGUUAGACUUCGAGAUCUACAUUUUCGACAAAGGCCUGGUGUAAUAUUAUUACGUACUUGAUGAAGGUAAUAUUAAUUUCUUCAAAUUUGAAGCAUGACGUUAAUGGAGUACCAGCACAACUUCAUUGACUGCUACGUGGCGCUGGUGGAAACUAAGGUUUAAUGACACGAAUGAGUACAAGUACAUUACAUUUUUCGACGAAGGCCUUCUGUAAUUUCAUACGCUUCUUACGCAACAUUCAAUAGAUUUAUUUACUGUAUUAUCAUUUCGACCAAGGCGAAUUCGACACUUCAAUUACACAAGGUUAGUAACUUUUGUUCACAAAAUCCAAAUGGAGGCAAAUACAGAACAAUCAAACUUAGUCAUUCCAGUCAGUUACUGAAGCACAGUGAAAACUGUCGGGAGCAGUGCAACUGAUGGCAUGUCAAACUUCCAGUGACUGUCCCUGUCCAUAUAUUUCAAGACAGUACAAAUCUUGUAAUCAUUUUGUUUAUGCAAUGUACGUUAUUAUGUAUCAUUUCAGCACAAUCAAACUUAGUCAUUCCAGUCAGUUACUGAAGCACAGCGAAAACUGUCUGAAUUAGUGCUGCUGGUGGCAUGUAAUUACUCUACUACCACUACCAGUGACAGUCAAUGUCCAAAUAUUUUCAAGUGUGCGAAAUUAGUACUCGUCUACUUCUUAGUGUUAUUUGAAUG